rnacentral:rRNA from 1 species
UACGUAGGGUGCAGGCGUUAAUCGGAAUCACUGGGCGUAAAGCGCACGUAGGCGGCUUUCUAAGUCAGGGGUGAAAUCCUGGAGCUCAACUCCAGAACUGCCUUUGAUACUGGAAAGCUUGAGUUCGGGAGAGGUGAGUGGAACUGCGAGUGUAGAGGUGAAAUUCGUAGAUAUUCGCAAGAACACCAGUGGCGAAGGCGGCUCACUGGCCCGAUACUGACGCUGAGGUGCGAAAGCGUGGGGAGCGAACAGG